rnacentral:rRNA from 1 species
CUACGGGCGGCACCAGUGAGGAAUAUUGCACAAUGAGGGGAACCCUGAUGCAGCAACGCCGCGUGGAGGAUGACGCAUUUCGGUGUGUAAACUCCUUUUAUAUGUCAAGAAAAUGACGGUAGCAUAUGAAUAAGCACCGGCUAACUCCGUGCCAGCAGCCGCGGUAAUACGGAGGGUGCAAGCGUUACUCGGAAUCACUGGGCGUAAAGAACGCGUAGGCGGGUUGGAAAGUCAGGUGUGAAAUCCUACAGCUUAACUGUAGAACUGCACUUGAAACUUCUAAUCUAGAGUAUGGGAGGGGGAGAUGGAAUUAGUGGUGUAGGGGUAAAAUCCGUAGAUAUCACUAGGAAUACCUAAAGCGAAGGCGAUCUCCCGGAACAUUACUGACGCUAAGGCGUGAAAGCGUGGGGAGCAAACAGGAUUAGAUACCCUUGUAGUC